AUCUUUUCAUAACGGAUCAUAAUUUAGUUUUUUGUUAAAACACGUGAUUAUUCAGCCAGUGUUUUUCCUCGAAAAUUUAUCCAGGCCAGAAUCAAAAUCGAUAAACCAUAGGAAUCCGAAACUAAAUCAAAAACAGAAAUUUCAUUUUCGAUACAGCAACAGAUAACUUCACUAGCUUACUUCCAGUUUAUAUGAAGAUAAAGUAGCAACAGACAGAUCCCUAGAAAAACAAAGAAUCAGUGCUGAACUCCCUUUACAACGGAUUUCAUCAAUUCCAGUUGAAAACAAAUUUCUUUCGCGAAAAUCCGACAAAAUGAACUCUUCGUGCUUAAGACGUUUGACAACGAUUGUAGUUUUUAUCUCGUUUAUUUCCGAAACCUUUUCCUCGGCUUUGAAGCUAAACUCCGAAUUCGCCAAUAUGGUAAACUUCACCCUGUACGAUUCUUCAGCCGAGCUCAAAUCCAAUAUUCAAUACGAUUUCAACUCAUUUCAAUCGAGCAAUUACCAAAAAACGAGCCAAAUGUCAAAUUUACUAAUUUUCUCGACACUUGACAAGUAUUUUCAGCAAUUGAAUAACGAGGAACUACGCGCGAUAAUCGAAACCCAUCCGAGCGACGUGACAACUCAAUUGAAAGUUUUCAAGGCUCUUUCGGAAUGCCGAAAUGUCGAGACAACUUGUGCAGACAAUAGAUCCUCUGCGUAUAAACUCACGGCAUACCUAAAACCGACUCUAAAAUGGACCCAAAAUUUAGGGUUUAAUGCUCAAAUUGACGAAGUUUUUCUAACGAACGACUUCAAAAAAGUUACUUCGGAUUUCGCGCGAGGAGCGACGGCGAUCGAGUUGCAGUGGCUUUAUGACAGAAACUUACUCACCACUCAUUUGAUGCGACUCGUCGGCUCUUUGUCGACUCUUAAAACCCGAGACGACGGAUUAUGUCGAUAUGUUUUCAAUCUUUUGGGACAAAUUCAAAAACGAGAUCUAACUUUUCGUCUAGUUCCAGCAGAUAUAGAACCCUGGCUGCAUUGUAUUUCGCCUUACGAGACAGAAAACAUUAUAAUGAACUGGAAAGAACUGAUUUUGAAUAAUUUAGACACGUUAAAACCUGAGAGUCAAAAGGAAACAGUCGACUCUUUGACGGAUUCGGUUAAUUGGGCGAUCGAAUCAAAUUUGCGCACGUAUCAAAGCGAGUUAGCAAGAUUAGCUAACAUAGGGUCCAAGGUAUCACUUAUUGGAAUCAACGAUUUUGUUCAAUUAGCAUCACGAUUGCUGAAUAUUCCAAAUAACUUGCAGUUCGAUGCUUCCCAGAACCCCCUGUUGAUGCAAGUGUUAGAAGACAAUUUCGUGACCUACUCAAUGAAUCGGCACAGAAGUCAUUAUCCUUUGGGUCAACUUCUAUCACUGGUAACUCCCGAAGACUUAGAAAACCAGGGAUUGGUUUCGCAAAUUGAAUACGUUAUAGAGGACAAGACGUACAAUGUAGAUGCAUUACCACGCGAAAUGAUUCAGUUUAUUGCGGAUACUUACAGGUCGACGAAACCUCAACAGACGCGAGAGGAACUAGCUUUAAACCUGUGUGAACUUGCGUCGGGACUCUCCCUUAUAGAGUUCGAAUCCCUAUCAAGUCAACUGUUUUCGCAGUUGCUAGAAAAGUGUCCUCUUUUUCUUGAAACCGCAACUCAAACUCAGAAACUGAUAAUGGUUGAUAAAAUAACAAAUGAUUUAUCAAUAACGGCCCUGCCUUCAAAUUUAGUACCUUAUUUAGGAAUACUAGAAACACAAAACUUAACAUCACAAAUCGACUUACCCGCGAAUGAAAUCAAAGAUUAUCUUUUCCAGUCUGAGAUUUACAUGCAAAUUUAUUCUUCCAAACGACUGAGCCCAAAGAUAGCUGAAGAAAUGGGUUCUACAAUUUUGGGUAUGGACUUUGAAGACCUUAAUGAUCUUUCGCUUGUGGACCAAAUUGACAUUUUACGCAUUUACGGCUCUCGGAAAACUAAAUUCACAAGAUCUGAGGCUCAGUUUUCAGCAAAAAUGUAUCGAGAAAAUUUCAAAAAAUUGAAUAUCUUACCUGAUUUUACAAUUCAAAUGCUACCGCAUCAAGAUUUAUUUUUCAUGCCUGCUGAAAUUUUUCUCGAUUUCGAGGAAAACGAGUGGGAAGGUGUGAACAAACUAGCCUGUCAGAAUAUUUUCAGUCGAGUGAAUGACGAAUAUAUUCUCGAAUUGCCGACGUCUCGACUUAGAAUGUUAGCCAAGGUUUAUAUGAAUAACUGUAAGCGAGAGCCAUCCAAACGAUUGCAUGAACCAAUGACCCAGAAAGAUGUCGAUAAUUUGAGGCAUCUUUUGUGUUACGUUCCGAUAAAAACCAUCAAUGACAUGUCUUACGAACUGCUAAGCAACGGGUUAAUUUACUUUAGCAAAUGCCAAAUCGACCAGAAAAUUGCUCAAGUAAUUCCAGAAAAACUUCAUUUUCUUUUCAUUACUCCGAAAAAAGUUGAAGAUUUGGGCGCGAAUUUUUGCUCCGUUUUCAAAUUGGACAAUAACUCAACGAAAAGACUUUAUGUUCAGAAAGAAUAUUACUUAUCUGCUUUUUUGAAAGUUCUGAAUGAGUUGGGGAAAGAACGCGAAUUGAGUGAUCUACAAAGCAAAUGUGCGGAAUUUGUGUCAAAUCUGGUUACCCAAACCAUUCGAUCAAAUUCGAUUUCAGGACUGGGAUCUCUUUGCAAGUCAGGGUCCGAUAAAUUCCUAACUUGCCCUGUGAUCCGAAGCCUUACUUGGGGCAACAGUUUCUUAGAAGCAUCAUAUUUUCAGAAAUAUUCGAGUAAAUGUGAUUUAGAGCGAUGCUCGAGUUAUAUCAAAGAAAAUAAGAAAUUCUUCAAAAACGAAAUUUUAGCGGAAAUCGCGGGAACAAUUUUCCCGGCUGGUGCUGAAAUCACACGUGAACAGGUUAUUAAAUCAGCCCAUUUGCUUCCGUUUACAAAAAUCAAUACAAAUAGCAUCUUGAACUUGUUCAACGACAACAAUCCUCGAAGUUUCGAAGUUUUGGAAUCUCUUGGCAAAAUUGAAGGGUUCCGUUUCGAGUCUGAUAGUUUCUCUCGAGUAUAUGAAACUGUUGGUCCUCUAAAUUUAUGGAAGGUUUCGGUUCUUGGAAACCUUAUGUGCGAACUACCAAUGGAUUUGAACAACAACGCAAUCAAAUCGUAUUUCGAAUCACGUGACCAAUUAAAACAAAGUAUUCCUAUCAUUGGUCAACUUACGACUUGUUCCGAUAGAUUUUAUUCAAACUUUGCCAAUCUAGCAGUUGACCUUUUCCGAUUUCCCGAACUGAAUAUAACUCCAUUAGUUAUAGCUAAACUGGGUAAUCUAGUUCCAUUUCUUAAUCCAAGUUGGCUUAAAUAUGCAAGUACUUUGACUUUACAGGCAGUUCAGCCAGAAAUAGUGAACAAACUUAGUUUCACCGGAGUAAUCGAACCGAAUCUGAAACGGUUCUCUGUAGAACAAAUUUCGAAACUAUCCGAUGUUCACUUGAACCGAAUGAACUUUGAUCAGCUGGAAUAUAUCCACUCGCUGACCAAUGGGCUUGCAGAGGCCGAGUUUUCGUCGUAUACGACAACAAAAUCGCCCCAAAGCGAAGUCGAAUCAGAAAGUGUGCUGCCUGAAAAUUACGAUUACUUUUCGGAGAACUAUGUCAGAGUUAUUUAUAUCAUCAGCAAUGUCGAUAAACUCUUCUCAAACGUUUUGCUUGUGUUCAGUUUGCAUAUCUUUAUCAGAUUUUUUUUAGUUAGAACUCUAUAAUUUUUUCCAAUUCUUUGCACAAAAUUUAUUUUGCUUCUUA